rnacentral:tRNA from 1 species
GGGCGGUUAGCUCAGUUGGCUAGAGCAUUUGCUCGACAUGCAAAGGGUCGUUGGUUCAAGUCCAAUACCGCCUA